GAACAAAAUGAGUGGUAUGAAUUGGACUGACUCGUAUAAUGACAUGAAAAAGAAAUUCUGGCCAGUAUAUAAAACCGAGUUAAUAGUGUGGCCAGCUGCACAGGUUUUAAACUUCUUCUUUGUACCUCCGGCUUUAAGAGUGACCUACAUCAGUGCAGUGUAUCUAGGAUGGGUCAUGUAUUUAUCUUAUUAUCAACACAAGAAAUCUUAAAUUAAU